UGGGGAGUACGGCCGCAAGGUUAAAACUCAAAUGAAUUGACGGGGGCCCGCACAAGCGGUGGAGCAUGUGGUUUAAUUCGAUGCAACGCGAAGAACCUUACCUGGUCUUGACAUCCACGGAAGUUUUCAGAGAUGAGAAUGUGCCUUCGGGAACCGUGAGACAGGUGCUGCAUGGCUGUCGUCAGCUCGUGUUGUGAAAUGUUGGGUUAAGUCCCGCAACGAGCGCAACCCUUAUCCUUUGUUGCCAGCGGUCCGGCCGGGAACUCAAAGGAGACUGCCAGUGAUAAACUGGAGGAAGGUGGGGAUGACGUCAAGUCAUCAUGGCCCUUACGACCAGGGCUACACACGUGCUACAAUGGCGCAUACAAAGAGAAGCGACCUCGCGAGAGCAAGCGGACCUCAUAAAGUGCGUCGUAGUCCGGAUUGGAGUCUGCAACUCGACUCCAUGAAGUCGGAAUCGCUAGUAAUCGUGGAUCAGAAUGCCACGGUGAAUACGUUCCCGGGCCUUGUACACACCGCCCGUCACACCAUGGGAGUGGGUUGCAAAAGAAGUAGGUAGCUUAACCUUCGGGAGGGCGCUUACCACUUUGUGAUUCAUGACUGGGGUGAAGUCGUAACAAGGUAACCGUAGGGGAACCUGCGGUUGGAUCACCUCCUUACCUUAAAGAAGC
rnacentral:rRNA from 2 species